GUUCAUCGUUAUUUGUUAUAACUUUUCUUAUCAGGAACGACAGUUGCUAACAAUAAAUUCCCUAAACUGUCCUAGCAAUAGCUAGUAAUGUAUUUGUCUCCAAAGACAACUGUUACUGAAAUAAAUGCCUGUCUUCCAUGCCAAGUACACUCACUACUGAUAGCCUGAUAGCUAGAUUCGUUUUGAACAUUUAAAAUACAACGAAAUACGGUCCAAUUUGAAAAAUGUGAUGGUUUACUCCACUCGUAUUUUGUUGCUAUUAUCGUGGAGUACGCCAAUAUCUUAAGUAAGCUGAAAAAUCAAUGCAACAUUCAAGACAAGUGGAGAUAAUACAGCUCCACUGGAUGUUCUGUCCAUGGAUGGCAUUGGUAGUCGUUUCGAAAAAUCCAGAUGAUUGAUGCAAUAAUUGACAAUGCAUAAAAGUAAAACGUAGAAGUUCACUUUCGCAUUCGUCUGCCAGUGCGUAUUUGUUAUUCUUACCAGAAAGUAAAAAAUACAGCGCAAUAAUAACAUAAUUGGGCGUUAAGAUGAAUCCGGUCACAAAUAAGGGUUGGUGGAAACCAAAUCAGCAAUUGGCUCUUCUAGCUGGAGUUGCCGUUCUUGGACUUGGCUAUUUGUAUUAUUAUCAGAAGCAAGAGAUCAAGAUUGGUGGUGAUGAACCAAAACCAAAACCAAAACCAUGAAUCACUCAGAUUACAAUAAAAAAAAACCAUGAGUAUAAAAAUCAAUCGAUAAUCAGUUUCAAAUAAAUAUCAUCAAAAUAUACUCAUUCAGCAAACUGUAGAAGUAUUACGAAUAAAAAAAAAAUUAAAAAAAAAUCACAAAAUGUUUUCUUUGUUUAUUUUACACGAAUUGUUGCGUUUUUAUUCGAUGAAACCAUAGCGGUGCAACGAUAAUACUACGCGCCCUAACUACGUUAUGCAAACUACAUGACGUAGAGCACUACGCGCCCUGGCACGUUUGUAUGGGCAGUGCACCGCUAUGGAUGAAAUGUAAAAAUGGCCAUUCAAUCGGCUCGUUAUACAAAGCUUAUAAGUGAUCCAAAUUUCCAUAUAUAUGUAGAUAUGGAUGCAAGCAUAUAUGCGCUUAAAAAUAGCAGGUAUAUACUCAAUAUAGCUGCGGACAUAUAUAUUUCCCCAAUUCAUAUUUGUGUUGCAAAGAAAUUUUUCAAUGACAUUUCUACAGAUGGCAUUGAGUUCGAAAAAUCCAAAUGGUUCUUGCGGUCAUACGACAAUUCAAAAAGUUAGAACGUAGAAUGUCUUCAAUUUCCCCUGCGAGGCCAGUGCGUACGUGCUAUUCUCAUUAAAACAAUACACAGCGCAAUUGAAGCAUAGUAAGCUAAUUGAUUAUUUCGAAAUUCUUAAUUAAUGUACAUUAUCUUGUCAUUGUCAAUUCACAUUAUUGGUGUUUGAGAUGAAUACGAUCAAUAAGCUUUGGUUUAAACCAUAUCAGCUGUUGCCUUAUGUGUUUGGUGUUGCUGUUCUUGGAGUUAUUGCCAAUUCUGCAUUUGAAAUUUUAAAUCCAAGUAAUGGGUAUCUAGAAAAGGAGAAGAAGAAGAAUGGUGAUGAUGAACUAAAAACAAACGAUGAAUCAACCUGGAAAAUGCAGUAACGCCCACGUUGAGCAAACGGAAUAGAUUUGUUACUUCAACAACUAUUGAUAUCCAUAAUACAUCUUCUAUAUGUCAUUUCAUUUGGAUUGCUAUCAUAAAUGUAGUAAAAAAACAUUCAUAUGUAGAAGAAACAUUCAUGUAACGCAAUUUAGUCAUUUUUAACGUUAAAAGAUGUAACAAUUGUUCCUUGGGGUAGUAAAAAAACAUGAAAUCGAUUGAUUAUUAUUAGUUGCAGAUAAAAAUAAUCAAAAUUCACUCAUUCAACAAACUGUUGAAGUAUUUAUUACGAAUAAAGAAAUUCAAAAAAAUCCCAAAAUGUUCUCUUUUUUUAUCAAAAGCUUCUACGUGAACAAAAUCAUAUGCGUUCCAGAACAGCUGUUAUAUAUAUUCAAUAUAGCUGUGAACAUAUACAUAUUUCGUCAAUUCAUAUUUCUGUUACGUAGAAAUUUCCCAUUAAAAUUUCUACAGAUGGCAUUGGUAGUCGGUUCCAUCCAGAUGAUUCAUGCGUGAAGUUAUACGACGAUUCAAAAAAUUCGAACGCAGAGCAUUUCAUUUCACUUUCCCCUGCGAGGCCAGUGCGUACGUGCAACUCUUACAAACACAGUACAAAAUACACAGCAAUUGUGUGAGUAGAUAUCUUUGAGCGUUAAGAUGAGUUUGGUCAGUAAAAUGUGGUUUGCACCUAUUGUGCUUGGUGUUGCUGUUCUUGGACUUAUCGGCGAUUCUGCUUUCGAAACUUAUUAUAACUCAAGUGCUUGGAAGAAGAAGAAUGAUGGUGAUGAACAAAAAACAAAACGAUGAAUCAACCUAGAAAAUUUAGUAAUGCCCACGUAGAGCCAACGGAAUGGAUUUUUUACUUCAACAACCACCUUCAAUAAGUCUUUUCAUAAGUAAAUUAGGAAAUAUCGAUUGAUUUGAAAUAAAAAUCAUGUUACCAGUAAAUAAAUAUUAUUAAAAUGAACCAUUCUGCAAAUUGUAAAAGUAUUAUGAAGUAAUAAAUUUACAAAUUUCACCAAAUA